AUACGGAGGGUGCAAGCGUUAUCGGGAAUCAUUGGGUUUAAAGGGUCCGUAGGCGGGCUAAUAAGUCAGGGGUGAAAUCCCACAGCUUAACUGUGGAACUGCCCUUGAUACUGUUGGUCUUGAGUUACAGUGAAGUGGUUAGAAUGUGUAGUGUAGCGGUGAAAUGCAUAGAGAUUACACAGAAUACCGAUUGCGAAGGCAGAUCACUAACUGUAUACUGACGCUAAUGGACGAAAGCGUGGGGAGCGAACAGGAUUAGAAACCCGAGUAGUCC
rnacentral:rRNA from 1 species